AAUUUUUUUUUUAACAGUUGGGAUUGCCCCAGUAACGGCGAGUGAAGCGGCAACAGCUCAAAUUUGAAAUCUGGCCCCAGGCCCGAGUUGUAAUUUGUAGAGGAUGCUUCUGGCGACGUGCCUUCCGAGUUCCCUGGAACGGGACGCCAAAGAGGGUGAGAGCCCCGUCCGGUCGUGCGCCUAGCCUCUGUGAAGCUCCUUCGACGAGUCGAGUAGUUUGGGAAUGCUGCUCUAAAUGGGAGGUAUACGUCUUCUAAAGCUAAAUACCGGCCAGAGACCGAUAGCGCACAAGUAGAGUGAUCGAAAGAUGAAAAGCACUUUGAAAAGAGGGUUAAAUAGUACGUGAAAUUGCUGAAAGGGAAGCGCUUAUGACCAGACUUGGGCCGGUGAAUCAUCCGUCGUUCUCGGCGGUGCACUUUGCCGGCUCAGGCCAGCAUCAGUUCGCGCCGGGGGAAAAAGGCUUCGGGAAAGUAGCUCCCUCGGGAGUGUUAUAGACCGUUGCGUAAUACCCUGGGGCGGACUGAGGUACGCGUUCUGCAAGGAUGCUGGCGUAAUGGUCAUCAGUGACCCGUCUUGAAACACGGACCAAGGAGUCGUCUUCGUAUGCGAGUGUUCGGGCGUUAAACCCCUACGCGUAAUGAAAGUGAACGUAGGAAAGAGCUUCGGCGCAUCUUCCACCGAUCCUGAUGUUCUCGGAUGGAUUUGAGUAAGAGCAUACGGGGGCCGGACCCGAAAAGAAGGUGAACUAUUGCCUGUAUAGGGGGGAAGCCCAGGGGAAACUCUUGGGGGAAGCUCCCAAACGGUUCUUAACGGGCAAAUUCGAUCGGCCAAUAUUGGGCUUGGGGGGCCAAAAACUUAUUCGAACCUUUCAGGACCUGGGUCCGGAAAUUCCUCCUAUCG
rnacentral:rRNA from 1 species